CGUGGGUAACCUGCCCAAGAGAUCGGGAUAACACCUGGAAACAGGUGCUAAUACCGGAUAACAACAGAUGAUGCCUAUCAACUGUUUAAAAGAUGGUUCUGCUAUCACUCUUGGAUGGACCUGCGGUGCAUUAGCUAGUUGGUAGGGUAACGGCCUACCAAGGCGAUGAUGCAUAGCCGAGUUGAGAGACUGAUCGGCCACAUUGGGACUGAGACACGGCCCAAACUCCUACGGGAGGCAGCAGCG
rnacentral:rRNA from 1 species